rnacentral:rRNA from 1 species
AUAACACUGGAAACAGGUGCUAAUACCGCAUAACAGUUUAUGCCGCAUGGCAUAAGAGUGAAAGGCGCUUUCGGGUGUCGCUGAUGGAUGGACCCGCGGUGCAUUAGCUAGUUGGUGAGGUAACGGCUCACCAAGGCCACGAUGCAUAGCCGACCUGAGAGGGUGAUCGGCCACACUGGGACUGAGACACGGCCCAGACUCCUACGGGAGGCAGCAGUAGGGAAUCUUCGGCAAUGGACGAAAGUCUGACCGAGCAACGCCGCGUGAGUGAAGAAGGUUUUCGGAUCGUAAAACUCUGUUGUUAGAGAAGAACAAGGACGUUAGUAACUGAACGUCCCCUGACGGUAUCUAACCAGAAAGCCACGGCUAACUACGUGCCUAGCAGCCGCGGUAAUACGUAGGUGGCAAGCGUUGUCCGGAUUUAUUGGGCGUAAAGCGAGCGCAGGCGGUUUCUUAAGU